rnacentral:rRNA from 1 species
UACGUAGGUGGCAAGCGUUGUCCGGAUUUACUGGGCGUAAAGGGAGCGUAGGCGGAUACUUAAGUGGGAUGUGAAAUACCUGGGCUUAACUUGGGUGCUGCAUUCCAAACUGGGUGUCUAGAGUGUUGGAGAGGAAAGUGGAAUUCCUAGUGUAGCGGUGAAAUGCGUAGAGAUUAGGAAGAACACCAGUGGCGAAGGCGACUUUCUGGACAAUAACUGACGCUGAGGCUCGAAAGCGUGGGGAGCAAACAGGAUUAGAUACCCUGGUAGUCCACGCCGUAAACGAUGGGUACUAGGUGUAGGGGGUAUCGACUCCCACUGUGCCGCAGUUAAAACAAUAAGUACCCCGCCUGGGGAGUACGGUCGCAAGAUUAAA